rnacentral:tRNA from 1 species
GCGGUGUGGUCCGGCUGGGACCCGACGCCUCCGGCGUGCUGCGGGCGCGGCUCACGCUCGACGACGCCCGCGAUCUCGCCGCGGCCGUUGCC